rnacentral:lncRNA from 1 species
UGUGUGUGUUAUCUAGGCUGUCUUAAUUAGUUUUGGCUUGGCUAUUGCAUGUUAGGUUUUGCUUGUGGACCACAAACAAGCAAAUUGUUGAGUCAAGUCCACGCUUGUAUUUUCACAGGCUGACUAUUAUCCAAGUGCACCCAUGAAUUAAUUAGCUGAAUUUUAUGCUGUGGCUUGUUUCACAUGUGAACAACUUAUAUGAGACACUAGUCAAAGAGCCAAGUCCGAACUGUUCAACAAUUGCCGAGGAAAUGUGCGGUGCCUUGGGUAGAACUCUGAUGAAUGGGCAUUUAUUUAAGCUCCUAUGGGAAGACC